CACUCAGAGAGCUAGCCCUAUAGUAAGUCAGAGAGCUAGCCCUAUAGUCAGUCAGAGAGCCAGCCAGCCCUAUAGUCAGUCAGAGAGCUAGCCCUAUAGUCCGUCAGAGAGCCAGCCCUAUAGUCCGUCAGAGAGCCAGCCCUAUAGUCAGGUAGCCCUAUAGUCAGUCAGAGAGCUAGCAAUAUGGUCAGUCAGAGAGCCGGCCAGCCCUAUAGUCAGUCAGAGAGCUAGCCCUAUAGUCAGGUAGCCCUAUAGUCAGUCAGAGAGCCAGCCCAGUAGUCAAUCAAAGAGCCAGCCAUAUAGUCAGUCAGAGAGCCAGCCCUGUAGUCAGUCAGAGAGCCAGCCCUGUAGUCAGUCAGAGAGCCAGCCCUAUAGUCAGUCAGAGAGCCAGCCCUAUCGUCAGUCAGGGAGCCAGCCAGCCAUAUAGUCAGUCAGAGAGCCAGCCAGCCCUAUAGUCAGUCAAGGAGCCAGCCCUAUAGUCAGUCAGAGAGCUAGCCCUAUAGUCAGUCAGAGAGCCAGCCCUAUAGUCAGGUAGCCCUAUAGUCAGUCAGAGAGCCAGCCCUGUAGUCAAGAAGAGAGCCAGCCCUAUAGUCAGUCAGGGAGCCAGCCAGCCAUAUAGUCAGUCAGAGAGCCAGCCAGCCCUAUAGUCAAGAAGAGAGCCAGCCCUAUAGUCAGUCAGGGAGCCAGCCAGCCAUAUAGUCAGUCAGAG
ensembl:lncRNA